CUUAUCACUUCUGAUUGGAUUUUGCAUCCAAGCAAUGUUCUCUACUUUGCCUUCCAGAAUCAGGGCACCAUUCUCUCUUCUCAGUGCUUCGGGAAGUGUAUUCUUAUUUCCAUAUUUAUUUUGUCAUUUUAGUGAGAUUUGUGGUAGAAGAUAUAAAUGCCGUAGUCUUCCAUUUUGAACUGGAAGUCAAGUGAAUUUUAAAAUCAGGAACAAAGGAUAAAAUUUAAGGAAACUCACAAGUGCAGAUGCUUGUAGACAAUUAAACUUACUGUGACAGAAUAACCUUUGGAAACAUUAACUGACCGUAUUUGCCCACCGUUUCCAGCUGCCAUCUUCCAGCGGCGGCUCUCCCACCCCUUUGUCAGACGGAGCUGUAGCCAGAGCAAGAGAAGAUGCAGCAAAGGAGAGCCGGGCAGGCAGUCCUGGAUGCUCUGAGCUGCUGGGUCGGGGGUUCCUCUGGCAUGGGACAACCAUGGCUGCGACCACAGCUGCUCCUCCCGCCCCGGCCCACGUGCUGGACCGUGGUCCAGGCCCCAGUCAGUGUCGGGAAGGGUCCAUGGGCUCCCGGGGAGUUUCUGUCACCGCCCUCUUCUGCCCUCAUCACGGAGAAGCUUCACUUUUUGUCCUUUAAGUGGGUUUCGUAAAUGUCUUUGAUCUUCCUCAGGAGAAGUUUUGGUCCAUGUGAGUUCUAACCCCGGUGUCUGCACGUUGCAAGGUUUCCCAUCUCUUUGUCCUUCCUGCACACACUCCCCUGGAGUGAGGCUUCUGGACCAUUAGUAUUACGUACCUCCAGAGGAGACACUGACUUUUGGAGGAUUAGGUGACAAGUCAAAGAACGUCCCCAAACGCACUGACAUUUACAACAACCCUGUAAUUUCAGUUAGCGCGUAGUCACCAAUGCACAGAUUCCAAAUAUCGAUUCCACAAUAUGGAGGAAUUUGUCAUUUGGUAAGGGUGGCAUUUCAAACAAGGAGGGAAAAUUGAGUGCAAGAUUUUGAAUACUUGGCUACCCAGAGGGAAAAAAAAUGUUACCUAACAAGUAGCAUGCCCCUCCAUUCCAUGCUGGAUUAAAGAUUUAAGAGUAAGACAAGAAGACUGCAAAGCUGCAGAAGGAGACAGAGGAAUUUUUUUAUAUUCUUCGAGAGGAGAGAAUAUUUUUGGGCAAGACACACAAAUCACUGAUAUGAGGAAUGGGCUAGAGCCAACAGUGGUGUCUCGCGGGUUCAGCACCAUGCAGAUUUAGUUCUUGCUCACACUGGUGUCCAGUGUGGGUCAGCGGGGACUCUGCUCCCCACAGACACACAGGGACCCAGGCUGACUGAGACUCUACCGUCUGGGAUGUUAUAACAGGGAAGAGACAUCUGGAGAGUCACACUCGGGCUCUUGCAUAUUUUAGCCCAGAAGUGACAUGUCACACCUGCCCAAGGCCCAUUGGCCAGAACCAGUCACAUGACUCUGCUGAACUGCAAGGGGGAGGGGCAAUGUGGGGAGCUAGUUGAAUGUUUAUGAAGGCUCCUGUCCCCGCCACAAUCUCUAUCCUAACACACUGAAACAUUGGACGAAAUGGAUGAUUUUCCUGGGAAGCAUCAAUUUCUGCUAAGUGUAAAUGAGCAGAAUUCAUCUGAGGAGUAAGAAGUCAAAAGAGAUGCAUAGGAAGAAAUGGGAAAAGGUUCUAAGAAUUAUCUUCAAGGAUUGGGUCUCAUCCAGGUGGUGUUAUUGGAAAGAUAGUGAGUGUGUCUGUCCGGAGGGAGGGGUGAGAUACUCCCAGAAUCCACUGGGGGCUGGGUGCCAAGUGUGGAAUUAACAGAAGUGAAGGGGGCUCUAGAAACCAGGAAACAGGAGCAGGAAAUGCCACAGCAUAGUGUUGGCGGUGGUGGUGCGUGGAUCUCCACACCUGCCCUCCAGUUCUUCCAACUCUAGUGAGAGUGUACUCAGGCUCCCACCACUUCUGUGAUGGAAGCUGGUUACCCGGAAUUAUCCUCCUGUGAUGGUUAAUUUUAUGUGUCAUCUUGGCUAGGCCACGGUGCCCAGAUAUUUGGUCAAGCAUUAUUCUAGAUGUUUCUGUGAGGGUGUUUUGGGUGAGAUUAACAUUUAAAUCUGUUGACUUUGAGGAAAGCAGUUUGCCUUCCAAAAUGUGGGUGGGCCUCAUCUGAUCAGUUGAAGGCCUGAACAGAGCUCCCCUGGGCAAGAAGGAAUUCUGCCGGCCGUCAGCCUUUGGGACUUGGACUACAAUUCUUCCUCGGGUCUUCAGCCUGCUGAACUUCCCUGCAGAUUUUGGACAAGCACCUCUACAAUCGCAUGGGCGAAUUCCUUAAAAGACAUAUCCUUUAUAUAUGUGUAUAUCUCUUUCUAUAUACACAUCUUGUUGGUUCUGUUUCUCUGGAGGACCCUGACCAAUACAGCUCCCAGCACACCGUAGGCAACAGAGGAGAGGUGAUUCCCUACUGAGAAACUGGGGUGCUGUUCUAGGCAGGGAGAACAGACUCUCAGCGGCCAAAGAGGAUCUAAAGAGAGCAAAGAGAGAGACAGACACUCGUGGGGCAUCUCUCAUGGGACUGUAGAGACUUUGUCAGAGGCACGGCAAGCUCACAGUUCAUCAUAUGAAGCCACAGAAUCACAGGAAAAUGGUACUAGAUGUUAUUUAUUCAUGUAUACAUUUAAAGGUAAAGAGUCUUUCUGUUAGUCAUUCGAUGUGGACAUGAUUCAAGGUCCCCAGCUAUUAGGCACCUCCUGCGUCGGGGGCUUUCAUCAUCUUGGCACCAUCGAAACUUCACCUCUGUGCUGGGCUGAUGGCCCCGAGUCUGUCAUGGUGGCACCCGGCAGUGCAGGAGCAGAGCCGGCACGUGCGUCGUCCAAAGGAAGAAAUGGACAGGAUGGUCCCUUGGGGGGAAGGUGAGGGCUCCAGGCUGCUCGUGAAUCCUCAGCCUGGUUGAUCACAAGAGCAAGGCUGGCAGAGAAAGAAGCUUUCAAAAGGUAAGAGGUUCAUUCCGAGCCUCCCAGACAGGUGCCCUGAGGCAUCUACUUCAUUUUUGUUUUUUUAAAGAUUUUAUUUUUUCCUUUUUCUCCCCAAAGCCCCCCGGUACAUAGUUGUGUAUUCUUCGUUGUGGGUUCUUCUAGUUGUGGCAUGUGGGACGCUGCCUCAGCGUGGUCUGAUGAGCAGUGCCAUGUCCGCGCCCAGGAUUCGAACUAACGAAACACUGGGCCGCCUGCAGUGGAGCGCGCGAACUUAACCACUCGGCCACGGGGCCAGCCCCUCAUUUUUUUUUUUUUUAGGAAGAUUGGCCCUGAGCUAACAUCUAUUGCCAAUCUUCCUCUUUUCCUUUUUUUUCCUCCCCAAAGCCCCGGUACAUAGUUG
rnacentral:lncRNA from 1 species